rfam:Picea glauca, whole genome shotgun sequence.
GGGUGCGAUCAUAGCAGCGUUAAUGCACCGAAACCCAUCAGAACUCCGCAGUUAAGCAUGCUUAGGCUAGAGUAGUACUGGGAUGGGUGACCUCCCGGGAAGUCCUAGUGUUGCACCCU